UAACCAUAUGGGGUCCGCUCACCACGGUAUGUCUCAUGACUGGGGUGAAGUCGUAACAAGGUAGCCGUAGGGGAACCUGCGGCUGGAUCACCUCCUUUCUAGA
rnacentral:rRNA from 1 species